GGUUGGUGCACCUGGCGGCUUCCUCCUCCCCGGCCGUCGCAUCAGCUGUUCCCCUCUGGAGGUUUCCAACCUUCACAACUGACAGGGCCCAAGUUCGCUUGUGGCCCUCUUUU
rnacentral:sRNA from 20 species